rnacentral:misc_RNA from 1 species
UUCUACAAUUCAAAUGGACAUUGUGGGAGGGGUAUUUUGAUUUUUGAGAGCUCACCGAGGGGUUAUUUAGAGGCAGAGUUGCUGCAUAUGCAUUUUGCAGAGGAAGGAACAGGUAGAAAGGCUUGGAAUAGUCGGCCAGUCUACUUCCUACCCAGUGGGGAGCGCCAACUUUAUGGUUACAUGGCAGUGAAAGAAGAUGUGGACACCUUCAACCAGUACUAUUCGAAAGGAAAGCCUAAGCUAAAAUAUGAGAUGAGAUCCUACCAAGAAAUGGUGGUGAACAGAAUCAGGCAAAUGAGUAAAGACAACCUUCAGCUUCCCUGGUUGCAGAACAGAGUCGUUGAGCAACAAAAUCAUGCAAAAGACCUUGAAGAAUCCAAUGGCAUGUUGAAGGUGAAGCUAAACAACGUAACCAGGGAUAUGGAGAUCUUGAGACGAAAAGCCAAACAGCAGCAUGAGCAGGACACGGAAGAGAUGGAAUCUCUAGAGCAAUUUUACAAGGACCAAAUCAAAACCAUUCUUGAAGCAAGAAAAGAGAACGAUGGGGACUUUGAGAAUACACAGCAGAAGGAAGUGCAAGAAAAUGCAGAGCAAUCAAAUGCAAAUUCUUCAAACUGAAAUGAUUUCAUAAAGAACCCGGAGAAAGAAAAAGGAGGGGUGGCAGAGAGCCAUAAGCCAAUAAUACAAGAAGAGGUCGGUAGAGCUCCCAUUGCAAGGGAGGAGACAAUGUUCCCGGCAGUGAUGAGAAGGAGACUCCAACCCAUGCCAGUUCCUAGAGAUGAAAAACGCCUAGCGCACUUGGCAAAGGCAAGAGCCUCAAUUUUAAGGAGAAAGCUCAUCAUGGCAGACUAAUAAUGUCAAGUCUUAAACCAUUAGGUGUUCAACUGAUGAUUUGUGUAGUUUGCAAAUUGUAUUUGCGGUCGUGUUCUUAUUUAAAACCAAAAGAUAAUAUUAAUCUCUAUAUAAUUAUAUGUAUAUGUGAAUUUGUAUUGUGCUGCACCUGCAGUUGUAUCUCCCAAGUUUUGGAGUCCCUUCCCCCUUUAAAACAAAUCCAAUGCUUCUUUAAAA